UAUUUAUUACAGGUUUUAAAAUUUAGAACUCUACUAUUAUAUUACAUCGUUGGAACAAAAAAAAAUUUAGAAGUUAAUUUAUUUUACCUUUUGUAUAAUGGUUACACAAAAAACAUAUUUUAUUAUAGUUCCCGAAAUAAGAAGAUCUAAUUAUUAGCAUUUUUUAGAAUAAAAUAAUAGUUAUGUUGAAAUAUGGCUGAAAGACUAAUAAUUAGGAGCGAAAAACUUUCAAUUCUUAAGAUAUCUGGCAGCUCUCGAAAAGCAUUUAGUGCUGUUAAGUUUAUACACAAAGUGGUGAGAUUUUGUGUAAAAAGAAUUUUAAUUGGAAGAUAUAUUUUUAGAGUUAACCCUACCAAAUCUAAGUUAUCUAACUAUAAAUUUUUUAUUUUAUCUUACUUUUAGAGAGCUUUUCUAAACAUUUAAGUUUUAGAAUUAAUUAUGUGUAAAUGAGUAAUAUGUAAAAUAAUUUUGUAUUGUGAUAAAACAUUAUUCUGUAAUUAUUUGAAACAAUUAGUUAAAAGGAAUUCGGCAAAUAGAAACUUCGACUGUUUAACAAAAACAUAGUCUUAGGAGAAUUUAUCUAAGAUCAAACCUGCCCAAUGUUUAUUUAUGAAUGGCCGCGGUACCUUGACCGUGCUAAGGUAGCGCAAUAAAUUGGCCUUUAAAUGAGGCCACGUAUGAAUGGAAUCACGGGGUUUAGCUGUCUCUGGAACUAAUUUAUUGAAAUUACUAUGUAGGUGAAAAAGCCUACUUUGAGAAAAAGGACGAGAAGACCCUUAGAGCUUUACUAAAAUUGAGAGUUUCUAUUCUUAAGUCAGUUCUGUUGGGGCAACAUAGGAACACUGGAAUUUCCUUAAAUUCAAUCCACCGAUGUUUAUAAAUUUGAAUAAGCUACCUUAGGGAUAACAGCAAAAUUUUAUAAAUUAGUUUGUGACCUCGAUGUUGGACUAGGAAACUAGUAGGCUAGCCGCUUAUUAGAGAAGUUCUGUUCGAACUAUAAUUUCCUACAUGAUCUGAGUUCAGACCGGCGUAAGCCAGGUCAGAUUCUAUCUUUUUAUUUUAAGAGUUUAGUACGAAAGGACCAAUUCUUAGUAUAAUCUAAAUA
rnacentral:rRNA from 1 species